rnacentral:rRNA from 1 species
AUGGUACUCCCGCCAACAGAACCAACCGACACGAAGAAACAAGGUGAAUGCAAGAAGAAAAACAAACGACAAAGGGUAGAAAAAGAACAAGACGAUACCAACAACAAAGGUUCAGAUACCAAUGACGACGACGAUGACAAACAACAUGAUGCAUAUUUCAUUCCUACAGACGGCGAUGAUGCCGAAGAGCACGACAGCGACGCAGAACAUGACGACAAUCCCAAAUCAGGCAAGAAGGACAGAAAGAGGAGAAAGACAAGCGGGAAAGAAUUGGCAGCACCAACAGUUGACGAAGAACAGCAAGAAACAGACGAAGAGAAAUGCCAAAUCAAGGCAGGGGUAGCAUUCGCUCAUGUCAGGAAAGCAUGGAAUUUACUUAAAGACCGUCACAAGCAAGAUAUUAGGACGGCAGGAUUUGGCAGCAUAGAGAACUGCAAAAUAACGGGCUCCAACUGUAGACCGCUUGCAGCACACAUCUACGACAACCUCGACACAGAAAGCAUGACAAUAACCUUCGGUGAUGGUACCGAAGACAAAAAAAUCAAGAUUACCAAGGAAGCUAUCCACAAGGUGUUUGGAUACCCAAACGGCACGCAAAGGUCAGCACCAAGGCCAGAGACUAGCCCAACUUCAAUGAAAGAACUGAUGUCAGACCUUGGCUUCAAAGAUACAAAAUUCGCGCCAAAACAACUGUUCAAGAAGCUAGAAAUAUUGGUGGAACUAGAUGACGAACAGUCAAACAGGAAAUCAGUUAAAAUAUAUGUCCUUAUUUUUUUCCACAAUGUUGUCUGCGGGUCAAGCGCCGCUAUCUUUGCCCGACAAGCUAUAAUGGUCAAGGACAUGGACUAUCCAAAAAUGGCAAAGAUGGAUUUCUGCGAGGUAAUCGUCGAAAGUAUUAGGGAAGGAGCCAAGACAUGGCAGAAGCACAGGAUGUUGCCUCAGGAAGAAAAGAACAAAAAGCAUGUCAAUGGUUUGGCACGGGGACCAGUAAUCAUGUACCUCGACUCCCUCCUGCUGCCAACCGACACAAAAGAAAUGCGGAAGAUUGCAAAGACAAUGGACAAGACCUCAUUACCACGAGAAAUCCAUCUGAAAGAGAGUGACCUAGCGAAAAUAGCUAGAGCAGACAUGAAAAGGGACGGAAAAGCAUGA